AGGACGAACGCUGGCGGCGUGCUUAACACAUGCAAGUCGAACGAGGUCCAUCCGGUGGCAACACCGGAGAAGACCUAGUGGCGAACGGGUGAGUAACACGUGAGGAACCUGCCCCGGAAGACCGGGAUAACAGCGGGAAACCGCUGCUAAUACCGGAUACCCCCAUCGGAUCACAUGGCCCGAUGAGGAAAUGGAUUCCGCUUCGGGAGGGCCUCGCGGCCUAUCAGCUUGUUGGUGAGGUAACGGCUCACCAAGGCGACGACGGGUAGC
rnacentral:rRNA from 1 species